rnacentral:lncRNA from 1 species
UUUCCCAUGGCCGCCAGGAGGAAGCCCGGCAGGUCGCCGGUGGCGGCGGCGGCGAAUGCGAAGGCGUCGGCGAAGGAAGACGACGCGUAGGGCCUAUUCUGCGACCUCGGCCUCCGCCCCACACUCCGCGCCCGCCUCCAACCAAGGUCCUUCCUUCCCCCCUCCCCCUCUCUGAUUCCCCGUGUCUCUGUGGCCCUAGUGAUCUGGUAGUCCCCUGUGGGAACUAGGAGCUCGCCCCUUAAUGUCAUCCACUUGUGUUUUGAGAAGAAUCUGAAUGGAUUAAAGUAGAGGUUUUUACAGAAGGCAUGUUCAAACUCCAGUUAUUUGUGAUAUGUGAAUAUUGGUGCAUUCUAUUGGAUUCCUGUUAUGUCAAGUUCAAUUACCAUCUUCAAAUCAUAAAUUACAAUCCUCUCAUCUUCCAUAUCGCCAGUUUUGAGAGAUAUUCAGUGCAAUGAUCCACUCCCUCCGUCUCAUAAUGCAAAACACAUCUUAAGUUAUGGGAUGGAGGGAGUACUUUACAGCGCCUGUAAACUGAAGGCUUCGGGGAAGCUCUUUGAGCUUUCUCCGCCGGCAUUGCGAGGCCGCUAGGUUUGACUUCAGAAACUUUCUAUUCGGGUUCCCUAACGUAACGUCAGACAUCUGGUCUACUCUCAAGAUCCCAAAUUCCGCAGCUAAGGAAAGCCCCUUCUUCAUAAGAUCAAGAAAGUACAAGCGUCUUUCGAAGAUUGUGUCUAGGUAUGGUAUUUCCACUAAUCUCAUCUCAUGUCUUGAAGGCCCAAUACAGUUUAUUCAUCAGAAAUAAAAAAGAACGAUACAAGCAAAGUAUUUUACAGUAACCUUCAAGUUUACUAUACAUAACAAUGACCAGGUACACAUAGUUAAUACUCGUUUAAAAGAACACCAGAUUAGGUUUUUCACACAAGAUUCACUUGAAAAACUGUUCGAAUCUUACCGACCAUCGUAUGUUUCAGCAGGUUUCCAUUUGGAUAUUGCGUAAAUUACUCUCCCUUUCCAUCCUUGUAGCAGCCAACCGCGGUCUUCAACAGCAAAGAAUUCCUCAUGCCAAAACGUGUUCUUCAUGUAUACUAUUAUCCUUAAGAUGGCUAGAUCGACAGGAAGCUGCUGGAACCCGGCCUUGAGGCACCUUGCGUGCCACUGCCUGUAACCUUCUGGUCUCUCAGUUCUUUCUGCACCCUCACAUGCUAUGAUGUUAAUUGCAUCCUUCCCAAAUAUCAUCCUCUCAAUCAUCUUUCUUGCUUCAUUAUCCCGUGGAACAACGUUUGCAUCAAGCAUGUCAAACAUUGAAGAGUAAUGGAACAUCACCUCUUUGAAACGUUGUAUGAAGAAGGGGGAACUACGUAACCCAUUCACGGUGCCUGAAAUGAAAAUCUUCGGGUUCAUGCUCCUCAUAAUUUUGAGCACCUUAUACCUUGCACUAUUUGCGGCUUCGGUUUCAUGUCCGAGGUUCUUCAUCCGGUACAUGCAGUUGAUUAUGAGAACUUCAUCCUCCUCAAUGUUAAAAUCCUCAGUUUUAAUGGUCUCCCAUCUUGAGGCGGCAAUGCCCUGAUACUGAAAAGGUACCUUGAACAUGUUUGCAUAAUAAGCCAACCGCUUCCCUGUCUCCUCGAUCAUUUCGCUGGGGCGGAAACCUGGCUGACAAACGUCUAUACCUGUGAUCCGAAGCUUAGGGGCUCCCUCUUCUUGCUGUGCAAACUUCUGAAUCAUUAAUGGCCACUGAAAGCCGAAGCCGAUUCCGAAAUCAACGAUGUGCACCCUUGAUUUCCCUUGUGAGGCAUCAAGAAUAGCUUGGUUGGCAAAGUAGUAUGACGUCCGGUCGAAAGGGCAGGUUGCAAUAAAAAGGCUGUGAGCAUCUAACCAAUCUGUUGUACUUGUUCGCCUCUCCAUGAGGCUGCGAUAAACCUGACCCCCGAUCCCAGCCAAGCGUGCCUCGAGGCCAUCCGCCAAGUAAAAUGUCAGUCUCUGAGUGCAAUCACCAUCUGCUGAGGAGUGUUGUCUUAUCUUCUUUAGGAGUUCACUGGCCAACAGAUGGUUGUCUUCUGCCACAGCUUGUGCACAAUUGAUGAGGAGAGUCUUGAGAUCAACCAACUCUGUUCUGGGUUGCUUCCUCUGCCAUAGCUUCUGACGUCCUUUGCUCCGGCCUUUCAGUGAGUUCUUGUUUCCUUCCUCUACCAACCCUCUUCGCAGUCUUGUUAUUUUUUUGAAACUCUCCAGGCCAUAGCAUAGCAGAACUUGGUCGAAAUUUUCAUUUCGAAUUAUUGCACAAGUGGUGAAGGCAAGAUGUUUAUUGCUCCUUCCUUCCAAGAUAUCCCAGUCACUUUGGUCCGCCACCUGAAAGAUUGUGUUUUCGCUCCUCUCUCCUACUUUCGCCUUUCUAGUCAGUUUGGAAAUAGAAAGUAUGCCAUUCUCUAAAUAUAUCACGAGCUUAUCGAUACUUGGAGAAAACAUAGUUGCCUCCUCGACUCCUCUCUGAUAAUGCAAGCCAGGGAAAGCAGAUGUAGAAGUCGAUCCAACACUUAUGAAUGGACGGUUUGGUAGAGAAAGACUCCUAUUGCAGAUAUAUGCAUUCAACGAGGUUGUUAAGGGCUGUAACAUGCUGUAACUAGAACAGUCAUUACUGAAGUUAGUGCUCCAGAGCCUCUUGUAGCGGCUGGUCCUACCCUUACCAGGGCUGUCUGGUUCGUUCUUGAUAUUCAACAGCGGAGGGUUAGUAGCCAACGGGGGUACCUGCCCAAGAAGGUCACGGAAUGGUUUCUCAGCAGCCUGGAGAGCGGCGCCCCCUUGGCAUAUUUCAACCCUCUCGUCGACGUCUUCCAUCAGCAUCUGGCUGAUAUAGUGAAGAGCGUCGUUUGAUCUGAUCCGGCGGUGCUCAGGGCUACCGCCUGCGGCAGUCUGUAUGCUGCUGUUGGCAUUGCACAACCCAGGGCUGGUGCCUGCAGCAUGCAGAUAUGUGCUUGCUCUAGUGGUUGUUGGCUGGGCCAAGAACAGUGGACCACUCAGGUCGUAGCUGUCCACGGUGAGUUGCUGCUGGGAAGAGGAAGCGCCGUCGUAUGGUUGGUGGGUUGCUGCGGUGGGGUCCAUAUCGCCAAGGAGAGCUCCAACCGCCAUUCUGGAAAAUCUCUUUCUAUUUCCACUUCAAAUGGAGGAUUCUCCUGGCAAGCAGAACUGGACAAGAGGCAUGUGAUUCUUCUGUGUACCACAGCAAAUGAAUCAGCAGCUUGUUGCCUGCAAAACAAAAGAGUAGGAAGUUGAAGCUUAUUUAUGUGAGACAAUUUUGUACUGUACUCCCUCCGUAAAGAAAUAUAAGAGCGUCUAAACGCUAUUAUAUUUCUUUACGACGCUCUUAUAUUUCUUUACGGAGGGAGACGCUCUUAUAUUUCUUUGCUACAAUCUGGAAUGAUAAAAAGGAAUUCUCCCGGGCGAGCACUUAUUUUUUCCCCUCAUCUUCAGCUUACGAUUGUUUUGGCAUGCCAUGCUGAGGAAAAUUGAAUUUCCGAAGGCUUGCGGAAACGAGCAUUACUAUUUUACCUGGUUAAACCUCAAAUGUUUAGCAUUGAUAACAGAAGAAGGCUUGCGGAAACGAGCAUUACUAUUUUACCUGGUUAAACCUCAAAUGUUUAGCAUUGAUAACAGAAAAAGGACUCACCUCUGGUCCUUGUUAAGGCAACCUUGAAAUUACGACGCGCCUAAUAGCAUUGUUCCUUUUUUUGUGCAGGUGGCUCCUCAUCUGAUCUGAGCAGGGAAGCAUACACCUUGGUUGUUAUAUUAAGUAGCAGCACGAUCAAAUGAGAAGCUUUGAGAAGGAGGGAGAGGAGGGGUGUCUGUGGACUGUGGUGUUGAUGUAAACUUGGUAAGUCUUUUGUUCCCAACUACAGCCAUGGUGAUUGUGACAGAGGAUGGUCCAGAUUGCAACAGUUAUCCUCUCGAUUAAUCCUAGGCCUGGCUACACGCCGGACAUGUAAAAAAACAACUGUCAUAUCGGACCAUCGUUCUAAUUUUAGGGAUAAAAACAGAGCGCUUCCUAACGUGACCGACGUGGUCGAACGAACAAGCGAGGGAAACUAUUAUUUCCUGCUAGUCUGCAUGCGUACGUCUCCAAAUGUG